rnacentral:rRNA from 1 species
UACGGAGGAUCCGAGCGUUAUCCGGAUUUAUUGGGUUUAAAGGGUGCGCAGGCGGGAGAUUAAGUCGGCGGUGAAAUUUUGCAGCUCAACUGUAAAAGUGCCUUCGAAACCGGUUUCCUUGAGUGUAGAUGAAGUAGGCGGAAUUUGUGGUGUAGCGGUGAAAUGCAUAGAUAUCACGAGGAACUCCGAUUGCGCAGGCAGCUUACUAAACUACUACUGACGCUCAGGCACGAAGGCGUGGGGAUCAAACAGGAUUAGAUACCCGUGUAGU